rnacentral:rRNA from 1 species
GACGAACGCUGGCGGCGUGCUUAACACAUGCAAGUCGAACGGAAAGGCCCUGCUUUUGUGGGGUGCUCGAGUGGCGAACGGGUGAGUAACACGUGAGUAACCUGCCCUUGACUUUGGGAUAACUUCAGGAAACUGGGGCUAAUACCGGAUAGGAGCUCCUGCUGCAUGGUGGGGGUUGGAAAGUUUCGGCGGUUGGGGAUGGACUCGCGGCUUAUCAGCUUGUUGGUGGGGUAGUGGCUUACCAAGGCUUUGACGGGUAGCCGGCCUGAGAGGGUGACCGGCCACAUUGGGACUGAGAGACGGCCCAGAAUCCAACGGGAGGCAGCAGUGGGGAAUAUUGCACAGUGGGCGGAAGCCUGAUGCAGCAACGCCGCGUGCGGAAUGACGGCCUUCGGGUUGUAAACCGCUUUCGCCUGUGACGAAGCGUGAGUGACGGUAAUGGGUAAAGAAGCACCGGCUAACUACGUG